rnacentral:rRNA from 1 species
UACGUAGGGUGCAAGCGUUAAUCGGAAUUACUGGGCGUAAAGAGCGCGUAGGCGGCACACCAAGUCGGAUGUGAAAUCCCUCGGCUCAACCAAGGAAGUGCAUCCGAAACUGGCGAGCUUGAGUACGGGAGAGGAUCGCGGAAUUCCCGGUGUAGAGGUGAAAUUCGUAGAUAUCGGGAGGAACACCAGUGGCGAAGGCGGCGAUCUGGCCUAGUACUGACGCUGAGGUGCGAAAGCGUGGGGAGCAAACAGG